UUAUUGAGAACUUAAUGGCUACUUGAUCUAAAACUAACAGAAAAUAUGUCUAUAAUUUAUGUUUAGAUUUAAUGAGAACCAGAUUUAAGUAGUGGAAGUAAUUCCUUCAGUGUGUUUAAUCCUUAUAAUAUAGCGCUGAGUCAAAAGGAAAAAUAAAUUGGUAUAACUGUCAUUGAGAUAUCUAAUCUGAGGGGGAAAUCUGUAUUAAAAAAAACAACCUCCACAGAAAAAAGAACUUGUUGGGUCGAGGA